rnacentral:rRNA from 1 species
CUCCUACGGGGGGCAGCAGUGGGGAAUAUUGGGCAAUGGAGGCAACUCUGACCCAGCAACGCCGCGUGAAUGAUGAAGGUCUUCGGAUUGUAAAGUUCUUUUCUAAGGGAAGAAGAAAGUGACGGUACCUUAGGAAUAAGCCUCGGCUAACUACGUGCCAGCAGCCGCGGUAAUACGUAGGAGGCAAGCGUUAUCCGGAUUUACUGGGUGUAAAGGGAGCGUAGACGGCGAUGCAAGCCAGAUGUGAAAGCCCGCGGCUCAACUGCGGUAGUGCAUUUGGAACUGUAUGGCUGGAGUGCAGGAGA